rnacentral:sRNA from 1 species
CUGUUGCGGGCAGAUAAAAUGGAUGUGCGAGUCCAUGCCGCCAGCGGUGAGCAGGCAGCCUUCGCCCGCAAUAAUCUCCGUGCCGGGGCCGAUGAUCACGUCCACAUCGGGCUGCACAUCGGGAUUGCCAGCCUUGCCGAUGGCGGCAAUGCGCCCGUCGCGUAUGCCAAGAUCGGCCUUGAUGAUGCCCAGCGCCGCAUCCAUGAUGACGGCAUUGGUGAUGACUGUGUCCAUAGCGCCGUCAGCAUUGCUGAUCUGGCUCUGGCCCAUGCCGUCGCG